UACAGGGGGUGCAAACGUUUGCUCGGAAUCACUGGGCGUAAAGCGCACGUAGGCGGCUUUCUAAGUCAGGGGUGAAAUCCUGGAGCUCAACUCCAGAACUGCCUUUGAUACUGGGAGCUCGAGUCCGGAAGAGGUGAGUGGAACUCCGAGUGUAGAGGUGAAAUUCGUAGAUAUUCGGAAGAACACCAGUGGCGAAGGCGGCUCACUGGUCCGGUACUGACGCUGAGGUGCGAAAGCGUGGGGAGCAAACAGG
rnacentral:rRNA from 1 species